rnacentral:rRNA from 1 species
GACGAACGCUGGCGGCGUGCUUAACACAUGCAAGUCGAACGAUGAACCUCCUUCGGGAGGGGAUUAGUGGCGAACGGGUGAGUAACACGUGGGCAAUCUGCCCUGCACUCUGGGACAAGCCCUGGAAACGGGGUCUAAUACCGGAUACGAGCCUGGGAGGCAUCUCCCGGGUUGGAAAGCUCCGGCGGUGCAGGAUGAGCCCGCGGCCUAUCAGCUUGUUGGUGAGGUAACGGCUCACCAAGGCGACGACGGGUAGCCGGCCUGAGAGGGCGACCGGCCACACUGGGACUGAGACACGGCCCAGACUCCUACGGGAGGCAGCAGUGGGGAAUAUUGCACAAUGGGCGAAAGCCUGAUGCAGCGACGCCGCGUGAGGGAUGACGGCCUUCGGGUUGUAAACCUCUUUCAGCAGGGAAGAAGCGAAAGUGACGGUACCUGCAGAAGAAGCGCCGGCUAACUACGUGCCAGCAGCCGCGGUAAUACGUAGGGCGCAAGCGUUGUCCGGAAUUAUUGGGCGUAAAGAGCUCGUAGGCGGCUUGUCACGUCGGUUGUGAAAGCCCGGGGCUUAACCCCGGGUCUGCAGUCGAUACGGGCAGGCUAGAGUUCGGUAGGGGAGAUCGGAAUUCCUGGUGUAGCGGUGAAAUGCGCAGAUAUCAGGAGGAACACCGGUGGCGAAGGCGGAUCUCUGGGCCGAUACUGACGCUGAGGAGCGAAAGCGUGGGGAGCGAACAGGAUUAGAUAC